rnacentral:lncRNA from 1 species
GUCUGGCAGCAGGCUCUUAAGGGAAGGUGCCAAUCCCCACCAAGAUGAUGUACAUCUGGUCCUGGUUGAGGAGCCUAACUGAGGCAUUCAACAACCCACUUCACUUCCACAAAGUUCUCUGCAGUUUCCUUCUUGGAAUGCUUCUGUGCGAUAUGGAACAGCUCAUCACUAUCCACCAUUUCCCAGUUGCUGGAUUUAGACCUCAUUUGCCAAUCAGGUACCAGAUGUGGAUGCUCAAGUACAAAGCCCACUUUCUCCAGGAAGAAAUAAAUUGGGCAGGACAGCUGCAAGGACAACGGUGCAGCCACGGGGCUUUCCUUUCUCCUCACCCACACCCAUUCCCUGGCUGAGAUGAUGCAAGAAGAAAGGCAGCAACAAAAGAAAGCCACCAACUAAAGGGAUGAAUUAAUGGUCUCAUAUGGCACAGGAACCUUUCCUACCCAAGCUGACUCUGUUUCAGUAUAUUAAUUUAUUGAAUACAAUCAUUGCCACAGCGAAACGUUUCUUUGUUUCUGUGCAAGAAGCCCCUGAGAUAGCUACUCUCUGUGAUGUAGGACCAGAUGCUGUUCCCUUCUGCCUGUCCAUCCGGGCUGGAUUUAGACCUUUCUGUGAUUAGGUAAUACUUUUUCCCUGGGUAAAGAUAAUCCUGCUGUUGCUUUCCUAGUAACUUCAUCUAGCACCCCUCAGAAGCUGCUCUUACUAUAGCCCUAGAAAUUAAAAUGCUUUGUGUCUCCCUCUAAUAGACCUAUCACUGGCUAGAAGAAACUUUCUUAAUUUCUGCAUUAAAUCAGCUUCAUCUGAGGGCAAAA